CAAUAAAUAAAUAAGCAGAUGAUUUAGGCUUUGCUUCAGAAAGAUGAAAUAUUGAGGGGGUGGUGGUGACUGGAGUAAAGAGAAAACAGAGCUUGAGCUGGAAAGCAUGGAAUACUGGGUGAAUCUUCACAUAUGAUGGUGGGUGAAGUGUAUAAGAGGCUCUGUUGAUAGCCUUUUCUACUACAACUGCUCUCACUUUUUGGCAGAGUCGAUCAGCCUGCCGGGCAUAUAUGGUUGCUGAGUGUGUCCUGGCCCAUCUCCGCUUGUGCAUUGGACCAACUGCUCAGCAGCAGGAACUUCCAUUGGAGCGGGAAAUAUUGAUGGCUGGAAUCUGCUCUGGCAUUUGAAGGGAGGCAUGCCAGUGGAAGAUGACUGGAGGUAAUUGUGGGUGAUCUUUGCCAAGACAAGUUGGGAGCUCCAGGUGGUGGUGGUGAUGAAAGGCACAAGUCAGCACAUCCUACUCCUGAUUCAUUCUCUCAAUCAGGCCAUUAGUUUGAGUUUGGUAACCAGAUGAGAACAGAAAUCUUCCGAAAACGGGAAGUGAGCUAUGGUCCUCGAACAGACACAAUAUCCCAGAGGAGGUCAUGCAGCCUGAACUCGUGCUGAACGAUGAGCUUGGGGGAGAGUAAUGAAGCAACUGCUUUGGAGCACAAUUACCAGAACAGCAGUGACAGAGGCAGAUGAAGGCACCAAGAGGUGGGGCUAGGGGCGGUGAGGCACAGACAGUGGGGCAACGUCUUGUUCUGAGCAAAAGUGGGACAGACAGAGACAAAGUCGUGGAAUCUUGGGACAUAGACAUCCACCAAAAUUAACUCUGUAUAAAUUCCAGGGUCUGUUGAAGAGAGACCCCACUCCAACACUCAGGGGCCCAAGGUGGCAGAAACAAAAAGCAGGUUGGGAGGACCCCACCUGGGCCUGGAUCUGACUUUUUUUGCAGCUCACCUCUGCUUCUAUUCCCUAAAUCACCGGAGCAGCUUUGCACAAGCAAGGAAUGACAAGUUUUGUCCUCAAUGGUAUCAAACUGACGAAGAGAGCAUAGAUCUUCGUGUUUUUGCUGCCAGGUCUGUCGAUGGGGGGAAACUAAACUGGGUGAAGAAGAGAGCCCAUUGGCUUGAUGAAAAUGUCAUGAAUGCAGGAGAGGCUUGUGGGAUCUCUCUAUACCAUAAAUGGGGGCUCUGCACCCUCCAGCCAGUGUCGCCGUGCUUUCAGGACCUCCUUGACAGCCAGAAGUUCUCAGUUUCCGACAAUGGGGUGGGAAAGAAAAUCUACAGAAGAGCAUUAGCAGAGUGCAGUUCCUAUGGCAACAUCUGAUGCAUCAACUUCCUGCUGAUGCCCUGUGCAUCUGUAGAUGUGAACUUCCCAAUAUUCAGGACAUUUACAAACACAGGUGCGAGAAAGGGCCCGAAGGAUAAUUGGAGACCUGAGUCACCUCAACCACAAACUGUUCCAGCUGCUACCAGCCAGGAAACAGUAUGUUUACGUACAUGCAACGGUUUAAAUAAACCAGCAGCAAUAGAGUCUGGUUUUGAUGGCAAAAACCAUUAUUUAUUAGUAACUACAUAAUAUAGUAACUUAAACAAAAGUUAGCAGUGUUAUGCAUAUAUGUGUGUGUGUGUGUGUGUGUGUGUGUGUAAAUAUAAUUCCCAAACUCAUUUAAGCUCAGGUGGCAAGGUUUAAAGUAUUACGAUGGUAGUGUAAGGAAGUUCAGUUGAAUGCAUGGAGUUGGUGAGGGGAGAGAGAGGUUUUUGUAAGCCAAGGUGAAAUCCACAGUAGGAGAAGAACGAAUAAGCGGUGUCGUUGUUCUUCCAUUGUUGGACUCCGAAUCCACUCUCGAGUUAACCAAAUGUAGCUUAUCACAAAGGGUACCAUCUUCGAGGGAAAACUACCACCCAGGCAAGGGUAAACACGGGAUCAGCCAUUCUACACACUGUGAUAGCUACUGAUCGAUCCUCAACCCACCCUCAUGGGCACUCGGACGUUCCAUCCAGUGACUCUUCUGUCACUGGUGUCCUUCCACGGUCGAUUCCAGCUGUGUGUCUGUGAGAGAGUCAUCUGACCUUGCUUAAAUAGACACGCCACGAAGCAACUGUAAAUAUCAACUGUUCAUCAUGUAACUCCACCUCUCUCUCACCAUAGCAACCCAGAAGCAGGCAGCAGUACUGUAGUCAGUCUCUCUCAUUCUGUGUCUUUUAAAGGCACAAUCCAUGUCCACAGCAUUAAAGCCAGGACCAACAGGCUCCAGGACAGCUUCUUCCACCAGGCCAUCAGACUGAUUAAUUCAUGCUGAUACAAUUGUAUUUCUAUGUUAUAUUGACUGUCCUGUUUAUUGUACAUACUAUUUAUUAUAAAUUACUAUAAAUUGCACAUUUAGACGGAGAAGUAAUGUAAAGAUUUUUACUCCUAUAUGAAGGAUGUAAGUAAUAAGAUCAAUUCAAUUCAGUGGCAGUUCAGGCAAAUCAGCAAGUUUGGAGAGCUGUUCCUUAAGGUUGUCUUCUACCAGGAGUUGAAGGAAUUCUGUGGAAAGGGGGAUCGCAGAGGCCAACAAUCCAAAGCCCUGACAUCAAUAUCCUGUCUCGAUUGUUCAGUGGGAACUCACCAACUUUAGGCCGGUUCUGGGCUGCCCGGAAUUGAUAAAUGCCUGAAGAAAAAAUAGGUUUACCACCCCAAAGACAAGAAAGCUGGGAGCAUUGCAUGCUUGCAGGGAGAAUCAUUCCCUCAAAUUCCCCUUCCUGCUGACAGGUAUCCUCUUUUACCAGGCACUUGACACAGGAUGCUCAGAAGUGUCCUGGAGUGCCACCUUAGAGGCAGGAACUUGCCCCCCCCCCCCCCCCCGUGGCAGUUGUCAGUCCUCCUGAGAAAGGGUGAAGGCAGAUAGUGAUCUCUGUGCUUCUCUCGACUAUUCGAAUGGCCAGAUUUAUGAGGAAAUCCCAGCUAUCCUGCUUAUCAUGCGUUGCGAUCUCACGCUGGACCCCGGUGCUCAGCCGGGGAAAGCGGUCAUGAGGGAUCUGUUAAUCCACCCCAUCUCAACCGCGAGCCUGCAGAACUUUACUGAUAAUCCCUCACUGGCCCCUUCCCUUGGCGCUGGUCGGCAGCAAACGGUCUGCUGCAAGGGAAUCUUGUUCUCGUAGAGUGUUGGACUGCCUGAGAGAUUCUCCACGUUGGCCAGCUUGAAUGCAUCCUCACCGAACUGACCUGGCCGGGCCUGGAAAGUCGGGUCACACUGGGUAAUAAAGUUUCUGCAGCUGUCGGGGUCAUCAGGGUAUAUGGCUGGUGGAGGAAAGGUCGGUUUUGAGCCGGAAACUGCCGAGGGAAUCGGGCUGAGGCUGACCAGACUGUUACUGAGGAGGAAGCGGGACUGUCCUGACUGAUUCUGGCUGUCAGUGGCGAGCUGCCGAACUGUCGCUGCAAACGCUGGCACCUAUCUUCCUAAACAACAUACACACACAAUGCUAGAGAACCUCGCAGCCCAGGUAGCAUCUCUGCACAUGAAUAACUUCUUCCGGCUUGCGAUUGCCGCGCUUCCCCAGCAUUUCUGCCAUUGACUUCACUCUCUUCCGUCUGCCGAACGAAGCCAUUCUGCAAACCCAGCCCCCACGGAUUUUCACUUCUUUCCUACCUGCCCAACUAAAUGCGGGGCCAGCCAGGUCAGCUGUCCUCUCUCCAAUGGCUCCAUGAUACUGUGUUCAGUGACGGUCCAGAUGCUAAGGGAGACACCGCAGCAGAACAAAUAAUCCACUGAGUUUUAAUAAGAACUGUAAAGAACAGAAUGAAAAAAAAAAUAAAACACUAGGCCAACAGGGCCGCUAACUACAACUCUCAGACUAAACGUUAACGCUGUCACUGCGGCUCGGAAGCAGGAACGGAAUACUAAACUCCCGGGCAGCGUCGAUCUUCGUUCCCGGAGUGUGGGCUAAGAGCAGAAGUAGAAUUACCACGACCCUCUCUCUCGGGUGCUGUAGCUGGUUCAAUCCUGAAGUCGAGUGCCAUCCGCCGGAUUAUCUCUGUGACCCUUUCACCCGGGUGCCCUGCCUUCCUCCCACUUCACAAAAAUAUGCUGGGGUUCGUGUUAAUUGGCCUAAUGUGCAGGGAUGUGACAUGGAAAUGGUGGCUGGAUCUCCAAUCAAGUUGUAGUUGUCCCAGCCAAUCAAGGACACACAAUGAUGGCCCUCUUGUUUUUAAGACAUACAAACCCAGUGUGGUUUGUUAGCUGUUGUAUUUCACUGUUAUGAUUACCAUUCUCACAGGAUUGAUUUUUUCUCUAGUAUAAGUUCACAACUGGAUAUCUGCAUGCUUCAGUUCAGUAUCUUUGUAAUGCCGUUCAAACUCAUUUAGUGGAAUGAGCAAAGCAGCCAAGCCAAUGUCCAAUUUCAUUUUUAUUAAUUUGCAGUUAACUUAUGGUGUAAGCCAUAUUGCUUGUCUAUUGUUAGUUUCCACACUGUAAAUCUCAAGGCUACCCAUCACCAUCAGAUUUUUCAUUAACAACAUGCCGAUUAGUGCUCUUUUUUGAAACUGCAACUUGACUUUUUAUCUUUUUCCCCAUGCAGUCCAUUUAUUUUUGUUUGCUCUUUAUAUGUGUUCAACUUUGUUGCAUUUUCCCCACUUUUCACCUUUAAACCUGUGUUGGUCUGGUGUGUGUAUGAGCCCCUGCCACAAGGUAACACAACUGGUUUGGCUAGGCAGGUUUUUAUUUUAACAUUGCAAUUUUGUUCUCACAUACUUUCAUUCCUGCCUGCAACUCAAUUGGCUUUCCGGCUGCUGUUUUUUUAUUGAAGAAGCGAUUUCAACUUCUCUUUUAAACAUAAGUUGUGCUUCAGUUAGGAGCAGUUUUUGAAAGCUUUCUUGUAAGAUUCCCCAAACUAAACAAUCUCUCAGAGCAUCAUGAAGCUCAUCGCUGAACUGACAAUGCUCAAACAAUCCCUUCAAUUCAGUCAUUAAAGCUGAAAUAGACUCCCCAUCCUUCUGAUUCUACUUAUUAAAAAAAGUGUUCCGC